rnacentral:rRNA from 1 species
UGGGGAAUUUUGGACAAUGGGGGAAACCCUGAUCCAACCAUCCCGCGUGUGCGAUGAAGGCCUUCGGGUUGUAAAGCACUUUUGGCAGGAAAGAAACGUCAUGGGUUAAUACCCCGUGAAACUGACGGUACCUGCAGAAUAAGCACCGGCUAACUACGUGCCAGCAGCCGCGGUAAUACGUAGGGUGCAAGCGUUAAUCGGAAUUACUGGGCGUAAAGCGUGCGCAGGCGGUUCGGAAAGAAAGAUGUGAAAUCCCAGAGCUAAACUUUGGAACUGCAUUUUUAACUACCGGGCUAGAGUGUGUCAGAGGGAGGUGGAAUUCCGCGUGUAGCAGUGAAAUGCGUAGAUAUGCGGAGGAACACCGAUGGCGAAGGCAGCCUCCUGGGAUAACACUGACGCUCAUGCACGAAAGCGUGGGGAGCAAACAGG